rnacentral:lncRNA from 1 species
UACACAUUGGCUCAGGAUUCACAUUUGAUUUACCCCUUUAUCCCUAUAGCUCUACAGAGAUAACAUAUAUGAAUGUGCUGUAAAUCUUUAAUGAAACAACUAGCUCAGUUUCAAGUUCGAUUCUUAGUCUUUUUUUCCAAUUUGAAUAACUAAAGUCUUCUUUGACAGUAACCAAUUUCAUGAGUACUUAUGAAUUUAGACCCCUCAAGUAUCUAAGCCUGGGUCCUCAUGGAAAGUCCUAAAAUAGAUUAGAUUUUUUUUGUAUUUUUAUUAUAUUCUGGAUGGUACAACUUAUUCAUUGUCUUAGAAAUCCCUGAGUAAAAUAAUUUGUCUUAUAAAUAGAACAGGUCUCAACUUCUCAAACCUGAUUUAAAUUUUCUGUCUCAUGUGUGUGUGUUUUAUUUAAUAAGAUCUGUUACUUUGAUCAGAGGAGGUCGACAUGUAGAAUUUUGUGCAUUUAGGUUGAUAAAAUCAUCAGUUGUAGGUUCUUAUUUUAUACUUUUGUCUAGAAGGCUGGGAAGCAAAGCAAGAAGGGCAGGACCCUGCCAGCCUAGGGUCAAGCAAAUUUGGCACUUACCUCGGGUGCAGAAUCUAAGGGAGGGGAUACCAAAAACUCAAUAAUCACAAUAUGUGGACUUGGCUUCAAAUGGCCCUGGCAGAUCCAGUCUUUAUUUAAAAGGAGAUGAGGGGGUUCAGCCUGAAAUUUCCCAGUACUUAACUUUGAGGCCUAAUCAUGAUCCCGUAAAAAUUUCUUGUGAAAGCAGGUAAAUGUCCCUAUGUGGCACAUAAUUUCUAACUCACCCUAACAGGGGGAAAAUAUAAGCUAAAAUAUGGAAAAAAUAAAAAAGGACCCAGAAUCAAUUUAUUUGGGCAGAUUCAAUGAAGACAUACAGUUUAAUCCCCUAAGCCUUAGUUAUUUAUACCUGUAAAAAAAUAAGAGCUGUGUAGCAUGAAAAUUCAAAGUUUAUUUUGAAAGAACAUAGGAGACUUCCUGGGAAAGAGUAGGUACUGACUAAUUACUGCUUUCCCUUCCUUGACAAUAAAGCCCACAGUAUGCCUUUGUUUGCUGAUUCUCACCUUGUAUGUUAAGCUUGAGCACCCAAUCCACCCAGCAGUAUGUAAAUAUGAUUGGAAAGAUUCUGCCUCAAAUUAUAUCACUGUCAGAAAUGUAUUGCAUUUAAUAUUAUUUGUAUAUUUAACUCUGCAUAUAAAAUAUUUAGCCUGUAGGAAGCAGGAAUUUUAGUCAAGUGAAAUAUUGCUCUGGAGUUGUGAAGCACAAGAAGCUUUUAUCAGUUUUGCAGCCCAGAACAUCGAUAUUGUUCUUCACCUUGUUAGGACAUGAAGGAUAUACACGUUAGUAUAAUUUUAGCAACAGGGAGAGUCUUACUUAUCAUUUGUCCAUUGGGAUUUUGGAUUAAAUAAUUAUGUACAAAUUUAGAUGAAUUCCUUUUCUGUGUUAAGGGGAACUGAUUAAGUGUGUCAAUCUGGCUGCUUUGGAAAUUGCUCCACAUAUUAUAGGCAAAAUUAAAUGACCCAAAUCUCCUUUUUCAACCCUGCACUCCUUAGAACUGUCCACAAUAUUUUGCAUAUUUUUUGGUAAUAUUCUGUUUGAAAAUCAGAAGUUGUGACUAGGGCUUAGAAUUGUAUUUUUGCCUUGUUUUUGUGUUUUUGCCUAUACUAAUUAGUACAGCUUUUUAGUUGGAUAUGCUAUGAGAGCCACUGAAUGAUCUAAUUGACCAAAAAUAUUUACCCAUUUGAUAUUCUCUUCUCAUUGUCUGGCUGUUUAAUGUACAUUUUUCAAACUUAUUGCAUCCAACACUCAAAGUUGCUCCACCUUUCAUCUUUCUUUUCUCAGUUAUAGCAAAUCCAUUUUUCUAAUUUAUUAGUCCCAGAGCCUUGAAAUCAUUCUUGACUUCUGUCUCUCAUAUCCUGUAUCUGAUCCUUAGGAAAUCCUGUUGGCUCUUUAUUUAAGAACAGACAGAGCUUCUCACCACCUCCACCUCUAUUACUCUAGUCCAAAUCUCCAUCCUUUCUGUCCUAAAACAGCCACCUACCUGGUCUCCCUGCUUCUCUUUUACUCUGUCAUAGGUUAGUUUCAAUAUAGCCAUCUAAAUGUACCUGUUAUUUUUCUGAUCAAAACUGUGCGAUAGCUCCCCAUGAUAUUCAAGGCAAGAGCCACAAUCCUUGCCGUGAUCAGCAGAGUAGAACAUGAUCUGCACCUUCCCAUCGAGUUAUCUUUCUGGUAAAUGGCUCAUCUGUUCUCUUUGAUGUUUCUUGAACGAGCCGAGUUCACCCUCUUCAGAGCCUUAAGAUGUUUCCUAUUCCUAAAAUAUCCUUCCUCCUGAGAGCAUCCCGGCUUGUUCCUUCACCGUCUUUGAGUCUUGGCCCACUGUCACCUUCCCACUGGGACUUUCCCUGUCCACCCUAUUUUUAAAGGCAGUACCCUCAUUUUGUGUACUCCUUCCCUGAUUGAUUUUUCACUAUAGCCUGUGUAAAUUUCUAAUACAUAAUUUACUUAGACAUAUUUUAUUUAUUAGCUAUUUUCCUACACUAACUAUAAGCUUCUUGAGGGAAAGAAUUUUGUCUUUUUUGUUCACUGAUAUAGCCAAAGAACGUGUAAUAGUGCCUGAAACAGAAUGUUCUGAGUAAAUAUUUGUUAAAUAAAUGCAAAUUUGGGGGCUCUGUAUAUACUGAAAAUAUUAUAGACCCUAAAAUCAUCAAGGUUGAUUUGCCUCCAUGAUUUCCUUCUUAUUAAUAAUUUAUUUUGGCAAAAUAUUCUAGGUAUAUCAAAUUAUUAAUUUUUAGACUUCAAAAUAUACAGUUCUGGGAAAGUGACAUUUGUAGUAUUCAUUAUUUUUCCAGCCCCUGCAUCAUUAUUCAGUAAUAGUUACCAUACUUAAGAAACCAUUACUUGGGAUGUUUGCUAGGGAAUGUUAAUUUUGUGUUAAAUUGUAAUUUCCAUUUAUGUUCUUAAUCUAUCUUUGAUCAACAUGUUUUGUACUUAAAUGAGUAUCUCCAAAAAUACAUAUUAUUGCUAUUAAUAUGUCCAAUGAGAACUUUGCCAGGCAGCUUGCGUGCCUCAAGAGUAUUGUAGGACAAUUUUUCAGGUUUUUUAGUUUACUUCCAAAGUAAACUUCUGAGUCAGUGAGAUACCAUUUCAAUCUCAAAUCAGCCCCGCAAUAACUCCCAGAUAGUUACGUGAAACAAAAAGUCUUGACCAAGAAAGAUAGGACAAAGGAUACAGGAAUAAGUGCUAGAAGACAUUGUGGUGAAUGAAAAUGGGAUCGUGGAGACAAUUGUCAGUGAGAAUCCUGAGCCCAUCACAGUUCUGUUGGAUGUUUGCUUCCAUGAUUAGGCCUGACAUCCAUUUGGGAUUUAAAGAGUAGUAGCUAUAAAACGUGACUUAGGGAGCUUUUAAAAACUAUUUAUUGACUACAUAGAGGAUCAAAGAACAUUAAAACCAGAAAGGAUCUCAAGAGUGUGAUUGUAACCUCCCAUGACACAUAGAAACCUCUUUUCCAAGUCUCACAAGCCCACUCGUUUCACUUUUGAACAAACCAAUUAUUAAAAGCCUUUCUCACACUAUGUCAAAAUCUACCUCCCUAUAUCAUCCAUCCAGAGCUCCUAAUCAACCACCACCCUUUCAGAUAUUUAAUGCCAACUUUGAAUUGUUACUUUCUAAGUCAAACAUCUCUUUAUUUUAUUUCUCACAUGCCAUAUUUAUUUAAUUUCUUUUGAAUGAGCUGUUUUGUCAGUGUCUUUCCAAAAUCAUUAUUCCCAAAGCUGAACACAAUAUUUUCAGUACAUUAGGUCUGAUUCGCUCAGUCUUAUAUUCCUAUACCUUGAAAUUCACACCACAAAGGUGACACCUGUUAGGGUUGUAUGUACUCAAAUGCUUAGCUCUCCUUUAAUAGGACUGUUGGUUCAGUCUGUUUAUCUCCUUUAAUAGACUGUUGGUUUGCCUACUAGGCAAAGUAUAUAGAUCUCCAAAACCGUCCUUAGUUUUUCUGUUUUCUCCAGCUUUAGGUCAUAUGCAAAUUUGUGAAGUUUACAUACCAAGUAUUCAUUAAAGCCAUUAAUAGAUAUUGAACUUGAGAAUAGGGUUAAAUACAGAAACCUAUAAGAACCUAAGGUUGACAUAAAUACAUGAAAUACAACAUUUUUCAUAUAAUGCUUAAUUCAUUUUAAAAUCUAUUCUCAUUACUAUUAUCCAACAUAUGUUAUUCUCCUACUAACAAAAAUAAAGCACUAUGUUGCAUUUAUAUAUAUUUAUCUAUUACUACUUACAUAUAUAAAUACUACUAUUUUCUCUAUAAUUUCCAGCCUAGUAACCCUGUCACUAUGGAAAUUAUAUUAAUUUGUCAUGACUUGUUCUUAAUGGACCUGAGAUGAUGCUGAUAAUCACGCUUAUCUUUUCUAAAAAUCUAGAAAUGAAGUAUUUGUUCAAGAAUGAGCCCUAGAAUAUUAUUUCUGAGUCAUAUUGACCCUUUGGGGGAAAAAAACAAAUCACUCACCCAGUUAUCUGAAAACAUCGCAGAUGAAAGUCUUUCAGUUCUGCCACAUCCCCAAUUUCUCAAAGUUUGCCAGCGUUUUCUGGAUCACAUCUGCAAUUUGUUUAGAAUGUAGGAGGUCUCUAGAUUUUGCCAAUUAUACGUUGUUAACAAUAAAAAAUAUUGGGUAGUUUUGCCUAAUGUAUUCCUCUUCCUCUAUAAUUAUUUAUAUAAUCCAAAGGUAUAAUAAGCAAUAUUUUAAAAGAAUUCUAAAUUUUACCAUAUUCAUGGUAAAAUUGUUCACUAAAAAUCAUAUCUUAAUACUGUUAAGUGGGAACAUAGUAAUUGGACAUGUUUCAUUAUUUUUUGAAAUCUUGGCCGUGGGAUUAUAUGUUUACAUUUUCUCUGAUUUUUUUUUCUUACUUUUCUUUCUUGAAAGCUAAAGUGUUUAAAGGCUUCAUCCUAACAUACCUUUUGUAUUAAUUAAAAAUUUACCGAGAGCCACAUUUCGUUCUCCAGGAUUCCUGUGAUUUCCAUCUCAGCAAGUGAUAAUCUCUUUGAUUUAUUAGUUGCACCUUUAUUUAGUGUUUAGCUCUAUUAUUUACCUUAAAUUGUCCAGGUUUUUGAGAAGCAUAUUAAGAUGAACAAGAUGUAGAUUGUACUUUCAAGGAAUUUUGCCUUCUAGUAUGACAAAUUAUGUAAACAAAUGCUUAUAAUGCCUGGUGAAAAGUGAUAAUUACUAUCAAAGAAAGGCACAGAUUAAGUUUUGUGUGAACUGACCAAAGAAAAUAUAAUUCAUUUUUAUUUUAACUUUUCUAGAACUAAGCCGAAUGUUACAGUUUCCCUCAUUAUUUACUUAGUUCUAUGAGAUAAAACUGGCUAAAAGGCAAUUAGAGAUUUUGUUCACAAAUUACAUUUGAUUGAAUGAAAAACACAUCUGGAAAGUUGAUGCCUCCUGUAACUAUUAAGUCUUGUUUCUGUAUUAAUUUCACAGUCCAUAUUAGGAAAAUUUCUUAUCUUUAAUUGACCAAACAAUAGGGGAUAAAGGCCUUAAAAUGACCUUUUAAAACUAAAAAUUUACAUCUUUGUUCCAAUCAUUGGUUCAUAUAAUAGUAUUUUUAUCUUUUCCUGUUAUUACAUGAUUUAAUUUCAUUUAAUCUCAUUACAGUUAUUAAAUAAAUUUCCACAUGCAGUAGUUUCUAAAUAAUGUUUCUAAAGGUUUUCUGUCUUAAAAUAUUUCUGUAACAUGAAACUAUAUAAAUAUUUUUUGUUAAAUAAGAAACUUCAAGUUUACUUUGUAGCCUAUACUCUCUCUUUUGUAAAGUUUUUAUUUAUUUUAAAAUUAAGACCUAUAUUCUGGUUUCUAAAUAUGGUUCUCUGAUAAAGGGAACCAGGAAUCUCAUUAGGGAAAUGAUUGAUUUUAAGGCUAGGGUAGGAAAAAUAGAAGAUGAAUCUGGAACAUUUUGUUACACCAGAAAGAAAGGAAAUGUUCAAAAAACAAAAGAGUAGGGAAUGUCAAAGGAACAUGGAAGCCAACCCUAAACAUAUUCCAGUUGUCAAAAUUGGAAGAUUUAAGAGACAAAAUGAAUAACUUUGUAUUGGAUUAUAACCCAAACUGUGAAAUAAAUACAGAGNCCAUAAUGAUAUAAAUAUGAAUGAAGGGAAUGAACCUUCCUUACAGAAUUCUAAAUAAUGCUUGUAUGUGCCACCUCCCUGCAGCUUUAUCCCCCCCACUUCCCAUUGAAUGUGUGCUGGGCUAAGUGACUGGUUUCCAAAGAAGAGUAUGGGGGGUUCCCUGGAGCCUCAUGGGUUGGGGAUCCAGCGUUAUCACCGCUGAGGUGCAGUUUCAAUCCCUGGCCUGGGAACUUCUGCAUGCCAUGGGAACAGCCAAAAAAAAAAAAAAAAAGCAUGUGGAACAGGAUAAAUAGGCGAGAAAUCUACAAAUACAGCCAUAUCCAAGUGAUCACAGAUGCUGUGUGGAUAGCAUGUACCCCUGCUUGGAUGUGAUCUCUUCACAUUCCACCAUCUUGGUUUUCUUCCCAAAAGCUCAUGACCCCAGUCUAAUGAGAAAAAAAAAAAAAAUUAGACAAACCAAAAUUAAGGUACAUCUUCCAAAGUGCCUGAUCACCACUCUUCAAAACUGUCAAGAGCAUGGAAAAAAAAAAA